rnacentral:rRNA from 1 species
UGAGGGAAAGUUGAAAAGAACUUUGAAGAGAGAGUUCAAGAGUACGUGAAACCGUUCAGGGGUAAACCUGAGAAACCCAAAAGUUCGAACGGGGAGAUUCAUCGUCGACAACGCUGGCUCCCGUUGGUGCGCGAAACCUCGAAAGGGGUGUUCGUUGCUUUUCCGUAAGGAGGGCAUCGGGCGAACGGCCAACGGCGAACGUUCCGGUUUUGUAGAUGUGCACUUCUCCCCUAGUAGGACGUCGCGACCCGUUGCGUGUCGGUCUACGGGCUGAGCGGUAGACCGCUGCGUCGCCUCGUGCGUACGCGACGGACCCUCGGUUUCCCGACCGGCUGCGCGACGGUAUUCUAGACGGUAUCGGGCCGCAACCACUCUUUUCGAACGUGUGCGUCGGGCUCGCCGCAAGCUCGAUCAGUUUGCCUUGUUGGUACGGAUGAUAUUCCCGUUCGCGGGCCUGGUCAGCUGUUAGCAGGCGAUGCCCUCGGACUGGCCAAGCUUCGAAUUACCGGUCGGCGACGCUAUUGCUUUGGGUACUCUCAGGACCCGUCUUGAAACACGGACCAAGGAGCCUAACAUGUGCGCGAGUCAUUGGGACGAAUAAACCUAAAGGCGAAAUGAAAGUGAAGGUCGUCCUUUGCGUCGACCGAAGGAGGAUGGGCGCUGUAUAUAGUGCUCCGCACUCCUGGGGCGUCUCGUUCUCAUUGCGAGAAGAGGCGCACCUAGAGCGUACACGUUGGGACCCG